rnacentral:rRNA from 1 species
UACAGAGGGUGCAAGCGUUAAUCGGAAUUACUGGGCGUAAAGCGUGCGCAGGCGGUUGUGCAAGACAGACGUGAAAUCCCCGGGCUCAACCUGGGAAUUGCAUUUGUGACUGCACGGCUAGAGUGUGUCAGAGGGGGGUAGAAUUCCACGUGUAGCAGUGAAAUGCGUAGAGAUGUGGAGGAAUACCGAUGGCGAAGGCAGCCCCCUGGGAUAACACUGACGCUCAUGCACGAAAGCGUGGGGAGCAAACAGG